UGAGCGUUAUGAUGAUGGAAGGAACUAUUUUCCAAGUGUCUAGCUCAGUUUCUCCUGGGGACAUCCUCAGGAG
rfam:Alkalibacterium sp. 20 contig8, whole genome shotgun sequence.